CUUUGCCAUGACGCGUGUGCUGUGCACGCUAAACACGUGCCCUUUUUAAAACACUAGGCUUGUUACUUCAUGCGGCGCUGCAAGAACCGACAGCGAUGACGUCAAAGUACCGCGAGAACGAUUCGAGAACUCAUACGAAGUGUAAUUUCGUCUCGCUCUCGCGGCACUUUAACGUCAUCCGCCUGUCAGUUCUAGCGUGGCCGCAGGAAGUCGAACAGCCUUCUUUCUCAACACGGAUUACCAUGAGGCGGACUGACGAGUGACGACUACAACGAGCUCCUCUUUCACGGGUUUCUUUACUGUUUUCAGGAGUGACAAAAUAACCUCUAUAAAAGCUGAAGAUUUCAACAUUUUCUGAAGGGAGCUACAGACAGAGAUGUAAACUCAGAUUUUCCAGGCUAAUAUCCGUGCAGCAGAUUGAAGCAGACCUGUCAGAAAACAUCUCUAAGGUGCUAUGAAUCUCAUAACUAGCUGGAGCGGACCACAGGUGUCGUGAGUCACGCCUUUUCCUGGUUUCCACCUCGAGGAGGUCCCAAGAGCACCCCAAUGACCAGACACACAGAGAGCGCAAAUGUCGGAUAUUCUCCCUGCCAACGGUUAUCAAUCGCUGGAGGUCUCCCUCGGUGACACUUCUGGAUACACAUCAUAAGAUAACUAGAGCUUACGUCUCUGUUUGGAUCCAGCCUCACUUGUGAAGACUUCAGAUGGCGUAAACACUCAAAAAGACAUUGUAUGAUGGCAUCUAUAGAUGGACAUACACAACUGGCAAAUGUAAUAUAUUGUAAUUACUGCACCAAAGCACAACUCUGCAGAUUUUCAACUCACUUAAUAUUGUUACAAAUACAAUAGAUGUUUAUAUUUGAAAAACAUUUUUUUACUCUUUAUUUACUUUUUAAUUUUACUGAUUUAAUUCCAUUUAUUUGUCCACAAUACUCUGCCAAAAUGAUGUUUUGCAUCAUCCAAAUAUUGUUAAUUUACAUAUUACAGACAUUGUAACAACACAAAGUGGGUUGAAAUCCUGCUAACUUAUCCUAUAAUAAUAACUGUCUGUUAACUAAACAUGGCUUUAACACAUGACUUGUAUUAUAUUAGAGCUGUUGUGAUAUGAAUAUUGAUUUGUUUCCAGAAUAUGCUCCUCAGUGUGUCACACUCACCUCUGGCUGAUUAAGGGAUGUUUGUAAUCUUGAAACAUGCAUUUUCUAAAUAUGAAAUGUAUUGUGAAGAACAAUCUACCCUUUAAUGGUUUUACUUUGGUAAAACUGCAGAUCAUUUUUCAAACUAAGGUUUUGUUACCGUGGUUCUACUAUACUGCCCUACAAAGGCUAAGUGCAGUAACUAUGCAAACACUGAAACUGAAAAAAAUGCCCUUAAAGUUUUUUACACCAGCCAGUCAAACAUGUUACUGCAAUUUUGGCAAACACAUUUCUCUGAUGGGACAAAUUAUACCAGGAUACUUUGUCACAAGACACAACAGAUCUCACAAAAACCCAUUUCAACCUUUAACUCAAUUUUGACCAAAUGCAUAGUUACUGCGCUUUGGCUUUGUAGGGCAAUGUAGUAGUUUUAUAUUAAUGCUGGAGUGAAACCAUGGUAACCAUAUUUUUUUAAAUCAUGAUAAAGUUUGUGGUUACUAAAAUGUAGUAUGCUGUUGUAAGAGAAUGUUUAUUCUUUAUAAUUGUUGUAAAACCAUGGUUGAUUUUAUAUUUACCAUGUUUUACUGCAAAUGAUGGUAAAAUCAUGUAUAACUUUGCAUGGGUACAGAAAAGUGUAAACUGGUUGUUUUUAUUUGUAAGUCACGUUGGUUUUAAUGCAUCUGAUAAAUGUAUAUGCAUUUGGAUAUUUAUUCUGUUUACUGACAAUAAUAAAUUUGCAGUUGCUGAUGUAAAUGGUUGACCGUGGGCAGCUAGCAAACAUUACCGGUAUAAACCAGCGGACCUCUGCGGCUGCCGCUGGUGGUCCGCUGGAAAAACGAUGGGUAAAACUCCGGUGAGCCGCUGGCGGCAUCCGCCGGUGGACCGCCGCUGGCCUUAUGUUAGCUGGGGCAGCGGUCCGACAGCGGACCUCUGACUUCUGCGGCUGCCGCUGGUGGUCCGCUGGAAAAACGAUGGGCAAAGCUCCGGUGAGCCGCUGGCGGCAUCCGCCGGUGGACCGCCGCUGGUCCGCUGGCCUUAUGUUAGCUGGGGCAGCGGUCCGACAGCGGACCUCCGUCGAAAAAGUAGCGGCUGCCGCUGGUGGUCCGCUGGAAAAACGAUGGGCAAAACUCCGGCGAGCCGCUGGCGGCAGCCGCCGGUGGACCGCCAACUUUGCCGCCGGUGGUCCGCCGUUGGACCGCUGGCCUUAUGUUUG